rnacentral:rRNA from 1 species
CAGCCGCCGCGGGAAUACGAAGGGGGCUAGCGUUGUUCGGAAUCACUGGGCGUAAAGGGUGCGUAGGCGGAUUUUUAAGUCAGGGGUGAAAUCCCGAGGCUCAACCUCGGAACUGCCUUUGAUACUGGGGAUCUUGAGUCCGGAAGAGGUGAGUGGAACUGCGAGUGUAGAGGUGAAAUUCGUAGAUAUUCGCAAGAACACCAGUGGCGAAGGCGGCUCACUGGUCCGGAACUGACGCUGAGGCACGGCAGCGCGGGGAGCAAACAGGAUUAGAUACCCCGGUAGUCCCUGUCUCUUAUAA